AGUUUUUGUAUUUGUGCGUCCUAAUAUUAACCAAUUUAGACUUGCUGUAUUGUACUUUCGGUUUGUGUUGUACUGUACUUGUGUCUUAACCAUACCGUACAUUUCUCCACAGAAGUCUGGAAAGGAGAAUGAACCUUGCCAAUCUUCAUUAAAAAAAAACCCAACUUGUAAAUGUAGCCUGCUUGGAUAUUAUGUUUUAUAACAACAUUGUUUGUAGGUGAUAUAUAUAAUAUAUAUAUUUUUGAUGGAUGAAUGUAUUGUUAUGGCCCUUUAAGUUGCACCCUAUCCUCAAGCAUAUUUAAUUGAUGUCUUAAGCCCAUUGGUUUAGGGCCGGGUCUGUUAAUUUUGAUACAUGUGAUUGGAGGGGGCGGGUCUUUGUCGUGAGGGGAUUGACGACGAAAGAGCGAGUCGGACAUGUUGUUUUUUUGUAUUGUAGAGACACGCGGUGGUGUCGCUCGUUAAAAGUAUCUUCCGUGGUUUUUUUUUGUUUGUUUGUUUCUUUACACCAUUUAAUACUGUCAGUGUGGCAGGAUACAGUGUUUUAUAGACACUUUAAAAUAAAUAGUGACUUUCGUGGAGCUAUUUUUUCUGUUUUUUGUCUGGAGCAUAUUGCCAAAGUUUGCCGCGGAUUAUAGGUGUUGUUCCCGAACUUUCUUUUGCCACUGAGGGAAAAUACGUUCGUUCGUGGAUCACAAAGGCUUUUCCGUGCAACUAAGUGGAUUAUAAUUUUAUUCUUUUUUUUACCCUGUAUUCGAGACUGCAAAGUGACUGUGACUAAGUUUUUUUUCCCGUUCUAUUGAUUGAUAGAAGGGGCGAGGUAGUCUAUCGUCUGCCACGUUUUUUCUUUUCUCUAUGUUUUACUAAGUUGGUCAUGACCAUAACCUGUUUGAGUGAGAGGUAUUAGUAAAGUUCAAGUUAGUAGACCCAUUACUGAUUCUAAUUAGUUUGUUAAAGAAUAAAGUGAUAAUUAUUGCUUUAUUCAUUUUUUUGUCAUGUGCUUUAUUCACAAAUGACUAAGUAUGGUCAUGUUGCAUGGCUAAUUUUCUGUUUAAAUCCCUAAAUAUAUACUGUGAUUUGUGACUUGCCUGAGUUGUUUUUGAAUCUAGUUCACGAACCCAGAGUGCUCUUAUCAUAAAGGGUGGGAUAGGAGUGCUACAUAAAGAAAUCGGCUGCACUGAUCCAACGCGGAAGCCCUGCUGUCAGCAGCUAUGAACAACAGCUUUCAGCCUUGACACGAAGGGUUGUGGAUUUGGAGGCAAAAGUUGGUUUGUUGGAGGCAGGUUCGAAUGAGAGGUCUCAUCCGCCGACCACAGAUAAAUCUACGGCUACAGACAGUCCAACUGCUGAUAAAGCUAUGGAUACAGACAGUCCAGUUGAUCUUCCAACUACGGUGGUACCUCGGACCGAAUGUCAACAGGCGACCCAAAUCUAUCAGUCUGGUCAUGAAUUUAGUUUCACCAAUGGACAUUUGGAUAUUGACAGUUUCGGUUUCCCAUCGACCGUUUCCACACCGUGUAUUGACCGCACUCGUCCAGCAGACAUAACGGAGGACUCCGCUUAUGUAUACCACCAACUGCCGAUGCUCUAUUCACCUGUUCAAGAAUCGUCCAACACAUCACAGCAAUGUCCCUCAAUGUCAUCAUUUUGUUUGAGGCUGCCUGAAACACCGAUUCAAACAAACGAUUAAAAUUUUCACUUGCAUAAUUCUGUUCAACGGUCUCUCACGGGAGUAGUUCUUCAAGAUGUGCCUUUAAAUCACGUGUCCCUGGAGGUCGGGGGAAAAAACUUUAUGUGGAUGCAGCAGGAUCAGACGGUACACAUAGAGCAGAUCGUUUUGCUGCUGGUAUAUUUAAAAGGUUCAUUUCCCUUAACAUUUCUCAUGACUGGGUAGGUUCUGUGAACUAUGAUGGUUCAUAGGGAAAAAACACUCUGCCCUUGAAUGUACUUCAAGCCUUUUCUGAUGCAGUUGCUAGGAAAUUCCACGCCUGGAAGCUUGUAAGAGACAGGAUUAACGAGCCUCUCAAAAAGAAGCGAUUGUUUUCUACUUGUUUAAAAUGCUGUGAAUAUUUUUUUUGAAUGGUAAACGGUUGGGUCAAUAAAAAAAUGUUUAACAUUUUA